rnacentral:rRNA from 1 species
AUUGAACGCUGGCGGCAUGCUUUACACAUGCAAGUCGAACGGUAACAGGCCGCAAGGUGCUGACGAGUGGCGAACGGGUGAGUAAUGCAUCGGAACGUGCCCAGUCGUGGGGGAUAACUACUCGAAAGAGUAGCUAAUACCGCAUACGAUCUAUGGAUGAAAGCGGGGGACCGUAAGGCCUCGCGCGAUUGGAGCGGCCGAUGUCAGAUUAGGUAGUUGGUGGGGUAAAGGCUCACCAAGCCAACGAUCUGUAGCUGGUCUGAGAGGACAACCAGCCACACUGGGACUGAGACACGGCCCAGACUCCUACGGGAGGCAGCAGUGGGGAAUUUUGGACAAUGGGCGCAAGCCCGAUCCAGCAAUGCCGCGUGCAGGAAGAAGGCCUUCGGGUUGUAAACUGCUUUUGUACGGAACGAAACGGCCCUGGUUAAUACCCGGGGCUAAUGACGGUACCGUAAGAAUAAGCACCGGCUAACUACGUG